rnacentral:lncRNA from 10 species
CCAAUCCUCUGUUUUGGUAUAGAAAGUCCCAAUUCAGAGAUUUUUUUUACCCUUUCUAUGGACCAAACUUUUGAGUUUUGGGCUGGAAAAAGGAGAGUGAGUUAUCAAUGGCAGGGAGGCAUGGACAGGAUCUGGAGUAUUUAACUGUUCCUUAUAGUUCUAAAUUCUUCUUAUUUUAGUCAACUCCAUUCACCUCAUGUCCGCAGCUGCUUGGUGUGUCCAUUCCCCCAGCAUUCAACACAUAUGUGAUGGAGUUGGGUUUGCUCUCUGCUUGCCCCUCCCAGUUUCUAUGAUUUGGUUUCCUUGGUUCUGCUAAGCCAGUUACCAGGUGUCCACUUGUUUUCAGCUUUCCAAAUGUUGCCAUGGUCUCCUCACUUGUAUCUCCUUUUCCUAGGUCUUUGAAAAUAAAGAAAUAAAAUAGAUUUUCUAUAGUUUUAGUAGAGCUUUGGGGAGAAGGAAAUUAUAUACCUGUGGCUGAUCUAUCAUUUGACCUGAAAAUGUGAUGAUAGCUCUUAGAUGCAUGUCACACACCAGGUAAACUCUAGAAUGAGUUCUUAGGUGAAAAUUAUUGUAAGUAUAGUGGUCCAAUAACAGCUGUUCAAGGUGACAAGUAACUUUAACAAAUGGCCUCUUUUCCUGAUCUUGAACUGUUUAUCUUUAUCCUCUCUUUUAUUCUUGACUUGGCUCUUUCCCUUUUGAAUACCUCACCAAUCUUUAGUUUCCUCCAGAUUAAACACCAUGUUUGAAAUGCUGUCCUGUAGAACCAACACUGGACCUGCAAGAAUUUGGGCUGCAUUCUCCUCUGAAUAAGCAAAAUGACUCCUAUUUCAAAGUCUUUUCAUAAUGUCUCUUUUAUAAGGGAAUUUGUUUACUGCCUAAUGGUAAGUAAACUAAUAAAUAUUUCUUUGAUGUCUAUGCACAGAUUUGAGAAAGUAUGAUUUGAGAAAGUAUGAUUAUUUUAAAUUCUCAUAAUUGAUCUAUCUGCCAACAUACAGGUUUCCCACUUUACUUGGCUAUUGUUAAAAAAUUUCCUCUUGGUUUAAAAGAUGAUUAUUAGAAGUAAAAGAUUAAGGCGGG